rnacentral:lncRNA from 1 species
UUUUUUUAUUUAUUUUUCCCCACUGUACAGCAAGGGGAUCAAGUUAUCCUUACAUGUAUACAUUUUUCCCCCCACCCUUUGUUCAGUUCUCAAAAAUCUUAAUUUCAAAAAAUCAGUUACACUUCCAUGCCCUAGGGGAAAAAAAAGCCAUUUUUCCCUGCUAAUAGCAAGAGAGGAAUCAUCUAAGAUUUUAUGACAGCUGAAAAGGGCAAGACCAAUUGUCAGUAAGAUGAAAUAACAUGACUGAGGGACAUGAUAAAAUUAAGAGGAUUUCCUUCUCACUCCAGCACACACAGCAAGUAUUUCAUCCUACCUUGAGGCAGAGCUUCUCACUCUGAAAGGUAUAUAGACGGUUUCCUCCUCUAUAUCUCAAUGUCUUUAGUAACAUGACAAAGCAAUCAUGCACGAUUUUAUGGUUUGGUGUAAAAACUGGAAUCCCUCAAGUGUUUUUCCAGAGAUUAUCAAAUUUUAAAAGGAAAUGCUAGUUAACGCAUGAUGUGUUCUAUUGACCCAAACUGAGGACAUAAGACAAGUAGAGCUAUUGCUGGGUUCAAGUCAUUAGUUCUUACAACUAUUCAAUAUGCUUGUCAUUCAACAACUUUACCAUUGUUAACUUUUCUUUUUUAUUAAGAACAAAGCAAAACAAAACAAAAAACCAAGAGUCUUGACCAGCAUUGUGGUUGACAAGCCAAACUCCUCAGGGCCUAGUAGCCCUAACUAUGGACUCUGCACCAUGGCCUCAAGGAAGAAGCUCUCCUUUUAUCUGCUGUAUACAGGGUUCCCCUAUGAUUUGAUUUUGCUCAAAUAAAGCUUUCCACACCUAAAAGAAGCAGAAAAGGGGGGACACAGGUAAGGGCAGAAGUAAGAUGAUUUCCUGAUGACUCUAUUUUUCCUUGCUGUGACAUUCCAUGAUUUGAAAUAAAGGGCAAUUUAAAAAUCAGACCUGGUUUUAAUCUCAGCUCUGUUUUAAUCUUAACUUCCUCAUUCUUAUAAAAUUAUUACAUGGCUUACACUGAGAAAAUGUCCCUAAGGUCUUAAUGCCUUGUACACAGAUAUGUAAUAAAUGAUCAAAAGCAUUCCAAUGAUGAAGAAUCGAAGCAUCUUUAAAUAUGUAAAAAUAUUAAAUAUUAGUGUUAAAAUGUAUUUAAAAUAUAAUUAUUUUGAAAAAGAAGGUUAUCACUCUUUCCAAGAAUCUCCACUAGAUUAAACUUUAUUUCACCUCAAGGUUUUAAAAACCAACCCCUAUGCCACCAUAAAAUACAGACACAACCAUAAAAAAAUCUAAAUAUUUAUCAGGAAAAUUUCUGUCUCCACAUAUUUUUUCAUCACGACCUACAUAUCCAAAACACUGGAAGUAAUGUUCACUAAAAUUGGAAAAGAAACAAAGUCUUUAUUCUUAAACUUAUUAGUGGGUAGUUUAUUAAAAGGAACUUGUAAUGAACUAGUAUAUCAUAGAAGAUAUAUGUACCAUGGUUUUUAUCUUUAAAAUUCAAUUUACAGGAGUUUCCGUCCUGGCUCAGUGGUUAACAAAUCUGACUAGGAACCAUGAGGUUUUGGGAUCGAUCCCUGGCCUUGCUCAGUGGGUUAAGGAUCUGGCGUUGUCGUGAGCUGUAGUGUAGGUCAGAGACACGGCUUGGCGUGGCUCUGGCGUAGGCCGGUGGCUACAGCUCUGACUAGGAACCAUGGCGUAGGCCGGUGGCUACAGCUCUGACUAGGAACCAUGGCGUAGGCCGGUGGCUACAAAUCUGACUAGGAACCAUGAGGUUUUGGGAUCGAUCCCUGGCCUUGCUCAGUGGGUUAAGGAUCUGGCGUUGUCGUGAGCUGUAGUGCCGGUGGCUACAAAUCUGACUAGGAACCAUGAGGNAAAUGGAAAAAAAAAAAAAAAAAAAAAAAAAAGUAAAAUUCAAUUUACAGUCUCAUCCAAUUACACCUGAGGGCAUCAUAAUUAAGAGCUUAGGAUAUUUUACUAGUAAAGUAGGCACUGGGCUGCCACAAUCUCAGCUCCUUCCCAUUGGCAUCUCAUGAGGUGUUUUCAACAGAAAGCACAUGCAAUAAUAGUGAGCCUCUUAACUAAACUACUAAGAGUGAGUAAAAAUUCAUUUACCUGUUCCACAAAUUACACAUGGAACAACUAAUAUCCUAGAAAAGGUUAAAAAUGUCUUUUUCUGUACUGCACUGAGAAAAUAAUUGACAUAAAGUUAAUUUGGUUUAUUCUCAUGAGGAUACAAUCUUCUUAUUAUAAACACUAUUAUUAUUAUAAGGCUGGGUUUUUCCCCACUAAAUAGAAAAUUUGUGCUUAUUUUUAAAAAUAAAAUUGGCUAUAAAGCAUGGUUAAAGUAAAAGGAUAUCCUUUUAAAAGAAAUAAGAUAAAAGAAGCUGGUAAUAUUACUAAUAACAAUGGGUUGAAAUACAUUUACUCAUAAAACUAUCUUCUCUAUCCCCUUUCUGAAGGAGCUUCUGGUUGUAGUGUGCCGCUUAUUGCUACAGAACGAGCUUCUAUAUCUGAGGUUGUCUUAUUCAGUACUACAGGGAAGCAAAGUGUCCUACUGUCUUUUUCAAGGUAAUGAUAUUUACUUUCCUUCAAGCUGUCCUGUCACUUUCAACAUCUGAAAUACAAAUGAGCUACAGAGAAAAUAACCUUUUAAAAAAUGUAUUACAACCCACUUAAAGCAUGUAUCAGCUCAACCCAGUGGAUACCAUACAGGGGUGAUUUUUGCCCCUGAGGUAUCUGGCACUGUCUGGAGAAAUUCACAGCUGUCAAGAUUGAGGUGUAGGGAGGAGUUCAUGUCGUGGCUCACCUAUAACAAACCCAACAACUAGCCAUGAGGAGGUAGGUUCGAUCCCUGACCUCGCUCAGUGGCUUAAAGGAUGUGGCAUUGCCGUGAGCUGUGGUGUAGGUUGCAGUCAUGGCUUGGACCUGGCAUUGCUGUGGUUGUGGCAUAGGUCGGUGGCCACAGUUCCAGUUUGACCCCUAGCCUAGGAACCUUCAUAUGCUGUGAGUGCAGCCCUCAAAAGACAAAAAAAUAAAUGCAUAAAUAAAGUUAAUAGCAAAAAAAAAAAAAAAAAAAAAAAAAAAAAGAUCAAGGUAUGGGGAAACUGGCUUCGAGUGGAUAUAGGCCAGGGAUGUUACUAAGCAGCCUGCAAUGCACAGGAUAUCCCCUCACAAGGAAGACUUAUCCAGUCCCAAUGUCCAUAGUGCUGAGGCUGACGGCUGGAUUGAACCCAAACCAGUGUCAUUUCUUCCAAAGAAAAAGAAAAGCAUAUUUGGUUGCAAGAAAAAAAAAAUAAAAAAGCCAGUUUCACAAACCCACAAUUCAACAGCAAUAUCCUAAAUAAAAAUGAGUAAAAUAUUAGGAAUUACAUCAAUCUUUCCAAGAUUAGUAUAAAGACACAAAUAACUGCCCUUUGACCAACUUAUAAUUCAACACACACACACACACACACACACACACACACACAAAUUAAAGCAAAUGUUGGCCAGCUAGUCCAAAAGCCAUAUAACACAUAAGACCUCAACCAGACUUUGUUACUGGUCCCCUGAGCUGACUUUUGAAACCUCUCAAGUAGAAUAAUUCUCUAGAAAUACUCAAGAAUUGUCAUUGUCAUUGUGGUCAACCCUGGGGUAGAGGGAAUACAUGGCAUAUGUACCACCACUUGGUCACUUUCCCUUCAUUAAUCAAAGUCUCAGAAUCUUUCUCAUGAGGUAUUCCAGUCCACAGAACUGGCAUGGGAGAUGCUAUCUAUCUGUCGUCCAUGAUGCAAUAUGAUUUCAGAAGAGGUAGGUUCAAGUCUUGCCUUGGCCACUGGAGAGCUGCAUGAACUUAAGAAAGUGACUUAACCACUCUGGGGCUAUUUCCUUUAAUUGUAUAACAUACUUUCAGGGAUCUUAAAAGGGCCUUUUAACUCUAACUCCAAACAAGAUGUUACAAUAUAGCAUUUCUGCAGUAAUGAGGUCUUUGCACUUCAACUGCAGAAAUGCUAAAUAAUAAAUGAUUAAGGCUAUAUGGACAGAGUGAAGAAGAAAGAUUAGACACACAGGAACGUGAGAGUAGGAUGGGAACUGACCAGAAAAAAGACGUGGCCAGGAAAAGAAUUGCUUUUAAAAUAAAGGAAGGGCUUUAAAAAUAAAGGAACGGCAUGCAAUAGUAAAGAAAAUACAUUGGAAUUAGAUCCUUAAGAACUCAAUUCUUCAGAACUCAAUUUGAAUAACCAUGUCAUAGAGCAGUCAUGUGUCUGUAACAUAAGAUAAAUGAUUUAACCUCUCUCUGAGGUUCACUAUCUGUCCUAAUACACAAAAAGGGAUAAUUCUACCUGCUCAGCCCUUCUCACAAGACUUUUCUCUAGAUUCAUUGCUAAAUCUUCAAAGGGCCACCAAGAGCAGCAUGAUUGAGUAAUUUAUGGACUAUCCACACUACGAUAUAUUACAAGCUGGAAAGUAAUUGAGUUAAAGCUGUUUGCACCAAUCUGGAGAGAUGUUCAUAAAAUACAUUUUUUAGAAUAAGCUAGUUACAGAGGGAUAUAUAUGCUAUAACCCCAUAGUUAUAGCCCAUAAGAAAAUGAAUCAAAGGCAUGUGAAUACAUACAUGCACAGGCAAUAAGAAAAAGAGGGAUAUAUCCCAAAAUGUUUAGCACUGAGGUUGGGGUGGUAAAACAGGAGUGGUAAAGAGAAGAAUGAAACUGUGGGUUAGACUGACUGUGGGCUUCAUUUCAGCAUGACUUGCCCUUUUGGCUAGUUCUUAAUGAUAUACCUUAAAAAGAUAAAUCCUGUAAUUUUAAAAUAUCUUCAAUAAUUCUUGGUCUUAGAAAGUAAAUUAGAGGUUGCCAGGAACUGUGGGGAGUGGGAAAUGGAGAAUAACUGCUUAGUGGGUAUGGAGUUUCCAUUUGGGCUGAUGAAAAAGUUCAGGAGGAUUUCCCACUGUGGCACAAUGGGAUUGGCGGCAUCUUGGGAGCACUGGGAUGCAGCCUCGAUUCCCAGACCAGCACAGUGGGCUAAGGAUCUGGUGUUGUCACAGUUUUAACUUAGGUAGCAACUGGAGCUUGGAUAUGACCCCUGGCCUGGGAGCUCCAUAUGUCAGGGGCAGCCAAAAAAAAAAAAAA